rnacentral:rRNA from 1 species
UUAAUGUCCAGGAGAGUGGCCUUCCGCAUGGAGGGCUGACUAGAGAUUUAUCGGUAUGGGAUGAGCUUGCGUCCGAUUAGCUAGUUGGCGGGGCAACGGCCCACCAAGGCGACGAUCGGUAGCCGGCCUGAGAGGGUGAUCGGUCACAUUGGGACUGAGAUACGGCCCAGACUCCUACGGGAGGCAGCAGUAGGGAAUAUUGCACAAUGGGGGAAACCCUGAUGCAGCAACGCCACGUGUGGGAAGAAGCAUUUCGGUGUGUAAACCACUGUCAUGAGGGAAUAAGGCCCGCCUUCGGGCGGGAUUGAAUGUACCUUGAGAGGAAGCACCGGCAAACUUCGUGCCAGCAGCCGCGGUAAUACGAGGGGUGCAAGCGUUGUUCGGAAUUACUGGGCGUAAAGGGAGCGUAGGCGGAGAUUCAAGCGGAUUGUACAAUCCCGGGGCCCAACCCCGGCUCUGCAGUCCGAACUGGAUCUCUUGGAUAGUUCAGGGGCAGGCGGAAUUCCUGGUGUAGCGGUGGAAUGCGUAGAGAUCAGGAAGAACACCGAUGGCGAAGGCAGCCUGCUGGGGACUUAUCGACGCUGAGGCUCGAAAGUGCGGGUAGCAAACAGGAUUAGAUACCCUGGUAGUCCGCACCGUAAACAAUGCAUACUGGGUGUCCGGGGGUUCCCCCGGGUACCGUAGCCAACGCG